AGCUUCCCGGGAAGCAAGCUACUGAGUAUCGCUUCUCGGCCUUUUGGCUAAGAUCAAGUGUAGUAUCUGUUCUUAUCAGUUUAAUAUCUGAUACGUCCUCUAUCCGAGGACAAUAUAUUAAAUGGAUUUUUGGAAAUAGGAGAUGGAAUAGGAGCUUGCUCCGUCCACUCCACGCAUCGACCUGGUAUUGCAGUACUUCCAGGAACGGUGCACCCCCUCUCGGGGGAAUUGUACUAGUUUUAAAGUAAGAACUUGAUGAGUGUUAUAAGCUCAAUGAGGUAACAGCUUCGUUGAUUUUUUUUUUUUUGUGGGGGGGGGGGGGGGGGGGAAGCAUACGUUACUCAACUUGGGUAUACCCGUUCCUGAUCUGCGGUUGUGUGUAAUGAAAUAGCUUAGCUUUAUUUCAAGUGUUAGGACUGAGUGUGGGGUGUAUCAGUAACUCAC
rnacentral:lncRNA from 1 species